rfam:Otolemur garnettii contig039524, whole genome shotgun sequence.
GCUAAGGGCUUGCCUAUAGUCCCAGUGACUCUGGAGGCUGAGACAGGAAGAUCAGUUGAGCCCAGAAGUUGGUGUGGUGAACUCUAUAGCAUGCUGUGAUGAUCAGGUGCCCAUCCUAUGUUUGGUAUCAAUUUGGUGACCUCCCAAGAGCAGGGACCACCAGGUUCCCUAAAAAGGGGUGAACCAGCCCAGGUCAGAAAAAGAGCAGGUCAAAACUCCUGUAUUAAUUAGCAGUAAACACCUGUAAAUGGCCACUAUACUCCAGCCUGGACAAUAUACUCAGACUCUGUUUCUU